rnacentral:rRNA from 1 species
CCUACGGGUGGCAGCAGUGAGGAAUAUUGGUCAAUGGGCGGGAGCCUGAACCAGCCAAGCCGCGUGAGGGAAGAAGGUACAGCGUAUCGUAAACCUCUUUUGUCAGGGAACAAAGGCGGGGACUAGUCCCCGGAUGAGGGUACCUGAAGAAAAAGCAUCGGCAAACUCAGUGCCAGCAGCCGCGGUAAUACGGAGGAUGCGAGCGUUAUCCGGAUUUAUUGGGUUUAGAGGGUGCGCAGGCGGCCUGUUAAGUCAGCGGUAAAAGCACGGGGCUCAACGGCGGCGAGCCGUUGAAACUGGCGGGCUGGAGUUGAGAAGAGGAACGCGGAAUGCGCGGUGUAGCGGUGAAAUGCUUAGAUA